rnacentral:lncRNA from 1 species
CGCGGCCCAAUAUUGCUGGCUGGUCCCUUGUUUGUGGUCGUCAUGGUGACGUGAGGUGCCAACGUCAAUUGAAAUAAUUUUAAAUGGAAUCUCGAAGAGAAACCAAGUUCAGACUAUGUGAUCUUGGAAAUGUAUCCGAUUUAUUGUAACCAAUGUGAUUAUUGAAGUACUGAACGAUAAUAGACGAUGUGAACAACUACUGUGGUAUUAUUUCAUAUCCUGACAAGAUGCAAGUGUAUCAAAAGAUUCUAACCACUUCUGGUGCUCCGACAUCAGAAGUGGGAUGGAUGACCUUGCCCACUGAUUGCUGCCUUGUUCGCAUAUUGGCUUUCUGAUGUUGGUGCAGCGCUAAAAGACGAAUACUCGUACUGCAGAUGCAGUCGCUAAUGAGAACACGUUAUAAGAUAUCGAUAUGGUUACGGAUCGCUGAACGCAAGUACUACUGAUGGAGUGCAGCAUUUAAUGAAGUGUGUGACGACCGAAGCGGAUUGAUUUAGAAAAGAUUGUCCAUGGAAUCGUCAUGCAAUACGGAAUAUCAUGUUGAAAGAAAUUGCGAGAAGGAAACUGACAACCGCCGUUCCUUUGUUUGUUAAAAUUAAGUGAUCGAAUUCUGAAGGCACUGAUUACAGUCCUCCAGGCGGAACCGCCUGAGUUCAAUGAUUUGAACUGUACGCACGCAUUACGAAGUUUAUUUGGUGCGAGAGCGUUCGGACCAAGUAUUCGUUAUGGACAGUGUUGAGAGCUUUUGAGAGCAAUAUUAAUGGUGAAAAAUGAAGUGAAGAUGUUCGGCGUAGCAAGCGAGAUGAUAUUCCUCUGGUUUACACGAUUCUUAUGAUUGUGUGUAAAAGGAACAUUAUACCUGGAAUGUGUCACGUCGUAGAACAGGCUAAUUCUAAGGUUGGGGGAAGAAACACCGGGAUGUGCCUUUGAUAAUGCUAGCAGAAUCCUAUCCUAAAUUGAUACCCUAAUCUUAACAAUUGUUGCAAGAAUUUCAAUGAUUUGUUCCGUUGAAGGAAUGCGUUUUAUGGCAUUGAGUUCUCGAACAGCUAAAAGAAUGCAUCGCACAUCGAUGUUUCAUAAAUUGCAUUGUUGGGGAAACGAAAUAGUGGAUAUUUUCAUAGUCUCAACGGAAAAUAACAGGACUUGGUUACCAUGGUUACUGAAACAAGAUUGGUUGCUAUGGUGACAAUAUCAGAGUUGUUAUCAAAAUGUUGUGAUAAAAUUAACCGAUUUAUGAUAUCUUUUGCAUGUGAUGAUCCCGUGAGCCUCUCCUGCUUCCUGUGGAAGAAGUCUCUGCUCGCUCUUCACUGCGGGGUCCGCGAGCGCAACGCAUGACUUCUACCGCGCGGUGUCUUCCAGCGUGAUCAAACACGAUACGCGAUGUUUGUUACAUACAGAGAUACUAAGAGCAACAUGAAUGAUGAACCUGGUGAGAUCAAUCCAAUUUUGUUUUGCGUCUUUUAUAAAGUCGUACAUCCGUAACGUUGAUAAUUGUCGACUAUCUCCUUGGUUUAGUAGUGAUAUCUAAGGACUCGGGUUUGAUCCUCGGGCUGCGUCAUAUUGCUUGAUGGACCUAGCACCUCAUUCAUUGCUUUCAAUGACUUCCAAUUCGUACACGCUAGUUUCGCCGUAGGCAGAACAUUGUAUGUAGCGUUUCACCGUUCAGGUGAUACUAUUACCCCGUACGAUAACGAAACUAUUAUAGCAAGACUAUAGUUAGUCUCGUAGGUCUAGCUGUCAUAAGCGCGGCUGCUCAGCACGAGGUCUCGGGUUCGAUUCCCGAGUCGGGCCGAAAUUGCUUUGUUGCCUUAGAAACUUUCACAAAGCAUUCCGGAGCCUGGAAAUUGCUAAUUGAUGCACCCGUGCAUCGGAGGGCACGUAAAGUAAAGGCAAGUAAAGGUCCUUUAGUAUGUUAGGUCCUGCUUGUGAUCUCUCUCCGGUCGUGUCGCAUUGCCGUCCCAUCGGACUACGACAGUGAAAGAAUAAUGAGUGCACCUGUGUCAGCGCGAAUGCUUGUUCACUAUAGUAUGUCCUGCGCAGUUGGCUAAUCUCCUUACAUGAGAAAAGCCGUCGUAGCUGGUAAUCGGCUAAGAGGACAUCUUAGCUAGUAAAUAGGAAUAAUAUCAAUCACAUGUUAGCUUUUUAGGUGUCUGUUUCUUACCUUAUUGCGUAGCCAUAGCAAUUAAUUUCCUACCUUGGAAAAUAGCUUCAAAAUAGCACGCUGUUGUUAUUUAUCGCUUACUUUUUGCUUAUCUGACUUACUUUGACUUAGAGUCCUAUGUCCCCUAGAUAGGGCAGAGGGCAUCCACAGUGCUCCGCCAUCGUGUUCGGUCUUGAGCUUUGCGCUUUAUUUCGCUCCACGUUCUGCCUAUAGUCGCCGCCUCUGCAAUGAUCGACCGCCGCCAGGAUUGUUUAGGGCGGCCACGUUUCCGCUUCCCUUGGGGAUUCCAGUCUAGGGCUUGCCUCGGGAUGUGAUCGGGGUCCCUUCGGAGCGUGUGGCCGAUCCAGUUCCACUUGCGUUGUUUGAUCUGCUGGUCGAUCGGUGUCUCUCCGCAGCGUUCCCACAGUUCUAUGUUGGAGAUUUUCUCGGGCCAGUAUAUACCGAGAAUACGACGAAGGCAGCGAUUGACGAAGACCUGGAGCUUACGCUUAAGCUUUUGCUUAUCUACUUGCUCUAUUUACUUACAUUGAGUUGCGCAGCUUUACAUUGUGCGUCAGACUUUACAUUUGCUGGUAGACUGUACCUAAUCUACUCGAAUAACCAGUUAGUAAUUUCAUCGUGUUCAGAUGUACCUACGAUGGAUACGGGUUGAUUCGGAAUAAACCCAUGUAAAGCCUGUGUGAUGGCAUAAGAGUCGCCGGGAACAGACCUGAGUAAAAUCUGUGGUACAGUUGGUGUCAUGUCACUGUGGUUGUGAUCGUGUACCCUACAAGGCCGGAAUAGGCUGUUGGCACUGUCAAGGGACACACCGACGGUGAAAAUCCUGAGUAGAAGGUUUGAAGUGAAUUAAACGACAGCCGUAGUUGUGACGGUUCCUGUAAUUAACGUGUUGAAAGUCUGACUACCAAAAAGAGCAGAAGCCACAAAGUCUGAUAACUAGUCUUGCCGAAGUGUGACUGGUUGCCUAGGUAAUUGUGUUGAGAAAUCGCUCCCUAUAAGGCACGUAUGCCCAGCUACAUUCGGUUAGAAUGAAAGUCAAUCCAAACUUAUUGAAAGAAGGCUAGGACUGGGCUGGAUGUAGUUAGUUAACUUAAGCUCUCAUCUCUAACAAUAACGGAUGGUAAGUCUGAAGUCUAAUGUUUGGUUACCGAUGCGCAUGUUUGUCUUAUCACUACAGAUGUUGAUGGCCGAGGCUGAAGGAGAGAAGGUGAUCAACUACGUACGCUAACGCCGUGUGAGCUGAUGGCUCGCAGCUGCGGUUGCUGACACGCGCUGUUGCAAGCCAGGAUACCGUGCGAUUCUGCGGUGGUAAAGGCGAACCAACAGUGAACUGUCAAUUCGACACUUUACGAGUUUUCCCUAUGCUAGUUAAUCAGUGCUACUUACACGAGGACGUGUAAAGCGCAGGAUGGCCGUGUCGGCGCGGCCCACAGCGCGGCCCAAUAUUGCUGGCUGGUCCCUUGUUUGUGGUCGUCUUGGUGACGUGAGGUGCCAACGUCAAUUGAAAUAAUUUUAAAUGGAAUCUCGAAGAGAAACCAAGUUCAGACUAUGUGAUCUUGGAAAUGUAUCCGAUUUAUUGUAACCAAUGUGAUUAUUGAAGUACUGAACGAUAAUAGACGAUGUGAACAAC